AACGAACGCUGGCGGCAUGCCUAACACAUGCAAGUCGAACGAGAUCUUCGGGUCUAGUGGCGCACGGGUGCGUAACGCGUGGGAAUCUGCCCUUUGGUUCGGAAUAACAGUUGGAAACGACUGCUAAUACCGUAUGAUGACGAAAGUCCAAAGAUUUAUCGCCAGAGGAUGAGCCCGCGUAGGAUUAGCUAGUUGGUGUGGGGUAAUGGCCCACCAAGGCGACGAUCAGUAGCUGGUCUGAGAGGAUGAUCAGCCACAUUGGGACUGAGACACGGCCCAAACUCCUACGGGAGGCAGCAGUGGGGAAUAUUGGACAAUGGGCGCAAGCCUGAUCCAGCCAUGCCGCGUGAGUGAUGAAGGCCUUAGGGUUGUAAAGCUCUUUCGUCCGGGACGAUAAUGACGGUACCGGAAGAAGAAGCCCCGGCUAACUUCGUGCCAGCCGCCGCCGUAAAAC
rnacentral:rRNA from 1 species